UACGUAGGGCGCAAGCGUUUAUCCCGGAAUUAUUGGGCGUAAAGAGCUCGUAGGCGGUUUGUCGCGUCUGCCGUGAAAGUCCGGGGCUCCAACUCCGGAUCUGCGGUGGGUACGGGCAGACUAGAGUGAUGUAGGGGAGACUGGAAUUCCUGGUGUAGCGGUGAAAUGCGCAGAUAUCAGGAGGAACACCGAUGGCGAAGGCAGGUCUCUGGGCAUUAACUGACGCUGGAGGAGCGAAAGCGUGGGGAGCG
rnacentral:rRNA from 1 species